GAUGAAGAACGUAGCGAAAUGCGAUACUUGGUGUGAAUUGCAGAAUCCCGUGAACCAUCGAGUCUUUGAACGCAAGUUGCGCCCGAAGCCAUUAGGCCGAGGGCACGCCUGCCUGGGCGUCACACGUCGUUGCCCCCCCAUCUACUCCUUCGGGAUUGCGGGGGGCGGAUGAUGGCCUCCCGUGCGCCUCGUCGCGCGGUUGGCCUAAAUGCCAAGUCCUCGGCGACGCACGCCACGACAAUCGGUGGUUGCGAAACCUCGGUUGCCUGUCGUGUGCGGUCGUCGCGCAUCGAGGGCUCGAAAAAAUUGCCGGGCUUCGGCUCGACUUUCAACGCGACCCCAGGUCAGGCGGGGUUACCCACUGAAUUUAAGCAUAUCAAUAAGCGGAGGA
rnacentral:misc_RNA from 1 species